ncrna:Pseudomonas syringae pv. syringae B728a Fluoride riboswitch
CGGCGCAUUGGAGAUGGCAUUCCUCCAUUAACAAACCGCUGCGCCCGUAGCAGCUGAUGAUGCCUACAGAAAC